GCUGGGGUAGCUCAGUGGCAGAGUGCUUGUCUGGCAUGUACAAGGCCCUAAAUGCAGUCCCCAGCA
rfam:Neotoma lepida isolate 417 scaffold_172, whole genome shotgun sequence.